rnacentral:lncRNA from 1 species
AGUGCAUUCAAGAGAGAACCCUAGCAAGGCAAGCUUCAUCCAAGUGCUUCAUUCAAGAAUCAAAAGAAAGUGGUUGAGCAGAUUCAAAGAGUCAUCAAGAGCUCCAUCCACCUUUGAAGAGUGAAGCAUCCUUGACAAAGAAGAGAGAAGUCACAUCAAGCGAUAAAUAUUCUCUAAACUCUUCUUUGUAGAUUAUAUUGUUAUAUUUGCUAAUCUAGGAGUUUAAAUCUUCUUCUUUUGUUUAUUAAACUACUUGUAAAGGUUGGUUGGUUAGCCCGCAAAACCAACGGAAUAGGUUGAUUGGUGAACCCGGAAAACCAAUUGUAAAGGUUCAUUGGUGAGCCCAUAAAACCAACAUAGGUUGUUGGUAAGCCCGUAAAACCAACGUAGGUUGUUGGUGAACCCGUAAAACCAAUUGUAUAGGUUCGUUGGUGAGCCCGUAAAACCAACAUAGAUUUUUGGUGAAUCCGGAAAACCAAAGUGUAAAGGUUUUUGGAUUGUGAGCCCGGAAAACAAUCCAACUGUAAUCCGCGGGAUUAUAGUGAAUUCCCAAGGGGU